rnacentral:rRNA from 1 species
UACAGAGGGGGCAAGCGUUGUUCGGAAUUACUGGGCGUAAAGGGCGCGUAGGCGGCCGCCUAAGUCAGACGUGAAAUCCCUCGGCUCAACCGGGGAACUGCGUCUGAUACUGGGUGGCUUGAAUCCGGGAGAGGGAUGCGGAAUUCCAGGUGUAGCGGUGAAAUGCGUAGAUAUCAGGAGGAACACCUGCGGUGUAGACGGCUUACUGGACCAUAACUGACGCUGAGGCACGAAAGCGUGGGUAGCAAACAGG